rnacentral:tmRNA from 1 species
GGGGAUGUUUUUGGGAUUCGACAGGCGUAGAUUCGCAUUGACUGCGAUUCGUAGGUUACGUCUACGUAAAAACGUUACAGUUUAAAUAUAACUGCAAAUAACAAAAAUUCUUACGCAUUAGCUGCUUAAUUUAGCGCAUGCGUUGCUCUUUGUCGGUUUACUCGUGCUCGACACUGAGUAUCAACUUUAGCGAGUUACGUUUAACUACCUCACCUGAAUAGUUGAAAAGAGUAUUAACAGGUUAGCUAGCUCAUCCUAGCCCUGUUAUAUGGCGUUUUGAGCUAGUGAAGUUCAAGUAAUAUAACUAUGAUCGUAGAGGUCAGUGACGGAAUGCGUUUGGACAGGGGUUCAACUCCCCUCAUCUCCAUUU